CCGUAGUGCAGUUUGCCUAUCGAGCCUGGGCAGCGACUCUAAAUAUCUGCCCUAGUCGCCCUGGAAUAGGGCUGGCAACGCUAUCAAUUUGCGCUGGAAUCCCCUCGAAAGGGGUUAACCAGGAGCUCCAGAGACCUCUGGAGUUCACAGAUCAAACGAUGGCGGCCGCUUGGGCGGUUGAGAUAUGAUCGGCCUCUGGCUGUCCCGUUGCUAGAGAUUAGUGGAACCUGCGGAAGGAUCAUUAUCGAGAGAGGGGCUUCGCGCUCCCGGGGGUUUCGGCCCCCAACUCUUCACCCAUUGUUAAUUUACUUUUGUUGCUUUGGCGGAUUCCGGGGUAGGUCUUGCGUAGGUUUGUCAUAAAAUAAACCCGUGCGAGAUGUAUCCCGGCGCCCGCCGGAGGCCCAUUAAAAUCUGUUUAUUAGUGAUGUCCGAGCCAAAUACCAAUAAUAAAAACUUUCAACAACGGAUCUCUUGGUUCCAGCAUCGAUGAAGAACGCAGCGAAAUGCGAUAAGUAAUGUGAAUUGCAGAAUUCAGUGAAUCAUCGAAUCUUUGAACGCACAUUGCGCCCCCUGGUAUUCCGGGGGGCAUGCCUGUUCGAGCGUCAUUACACCCCUCAAGCAUCGCUUGGUAUUGGGCUCUCGUCCCCGCGGCGUGCCCGAAAAGCAGUGGCGGUCCGGUGUGACUUUAAGCGUAGUAAAUUUCUCCCGCUUUGAAAGUUCGCCCCGUGGCCUGCUAGACAACCCUAUAUACUUCAAUAAUUGACCUCGGAUCAGGUAGGGAUACCCGCUGAA
rnacentral:rRNA from 1 species